CAGCCGCCGCGGGAAUACGUAGGGUGCGAGCGUUAAUCGGAAUUACUGGGCGUAAAGCGUGCGCAGGCGGUUCGUUAAGACAGAUGUGAAAUCCCCGGGCUUAACCUGGGAACUGCAUUUGUGACUGGCGAGCUAGAGUAUGGCAGAGGGGGGUAGAAUUCCACGUGUAGCAGUGAAAUGCGUAGAGAUGUGGAGGAAUACCGAUGGCGAAGGCAGCCCCCUGGGCCAAUACUGACGCUCAUGCACGAAAGCGUGGGGAGCAAACAGGAUUAGAGACCCCCGUAGUCCCUGUCUCUUAUAC
rnacentral:rRNA from 1 species